AGCCAGAUUGAAUAAGAUCUGUAGUUCACAGAGCCACUUGCAUUUUUAAUCCUAGUUUAAUUAACUUAGGAAAUUUGUAUCUAAAGGAUGCAUCUUUUUUUUUUUUUUUUUCAAUAGAGGCAGUGUCUCACCAUGUUGCCCAGACUGGCCUCAAACUUCUGGGCUCAAACCAUCCUCCCAUCUCAGCCUUCCAAAUGCUGAGAUUACAGGCGUGAGCCACCACGUCCCACCGGGAUACAUAGGUUUUACGGUAUCCUCUGAACCUCCCUUUAAUCAAGAGAGUGGACAAAACUGUGGGUCCCUCAUUUUCAAAAUGGCCAGUAAAAGAGGAAAUAAGGAUAUGCAAUGUUUAGUUAUUUUCUGCUGCCCUCUUUAAGUUGAUUGGGGAUCUCUUUGUCACUACUUUGGGAAGAUAACUUACCUUCUUAUCCACUAUGGCUAAUUGGAGCUUUUCUCAUGUCUUUAUGGUUGCUGGGAAAUUUUCAAAUAAAAUUCACUGGGAAUGGUUUGAAAUUGCAGAAUUUUUAGCCUCCCGAUGUUUUAUUUUCCUCUAGUGAGUUGGACAUAAAUAAUAUCCUCUUUUGAGAUUUGUAUCUUUGAAAGACAUUUUUUUUUAAGUUUCUCAGUGAAACAAAGAAAAAAUUAGAAGGUGGUUGGGUGCA
rnacentral:lncRNA from 10 species